rnacentral:rRNA from 1 species
GACGGGUAUCCGGCCUGAGAGGGUGAUCGGACACACUGGAACUGAGACACGGUCCAGACUCCUACGGGAGGCAGCAGUAGGGAAUAUUGCUCAAUGGGGGAAACCCUGAAGCAGCAACGCCGCGUGGAGGAUGAAGGUUUUAGGAUUGUAAACUCCUUUUGUGAGAGAAGAUUAUGACGGUAUCUCACGAAUAAGCACCGGCUAACUCCGUGCCAGCAGCCGCGGUAAUACGGAGGGUGCAAGCGUUACUCGGAAUCACUGGGCGUAAAGAGUGCGCAGGCGGGGUGGUAAGUUAGAUGUGAAAUCCUGUAGCUUAACUACAGAACUGCAUUUGAAACUAUCACUCUA